rnacentral:misc_RNA from 2 species
AACGCACCUUGCGCUCCUUGGUAUUCCGAGGAGCAUGCCUGUUUGAGUGUCAUUAAAUCAUCAACCCCACCGAUUUGUUUCGUCUUGGGGCUUGGACUUGGAGUGUGCUGGCGAAGGUCGGCUCCUCUUUAAAUGCAUCAGUGGAAGAAUGCACCUUUUUUCCCCCUUUGGCGUGAUAAUCCUGUUGCGCCGUGUGUGGGUUGAAGGUGUUCCGCUUAUAAUCGUCCUCGGACAAUAUAUACUUUUGACCUCAAAUCAGGUAGGACUACCCGCUGAACUUAA